UAUUUGGAAGGCGCAUGCUGGUUCAUCACAGUCAGAGGGUUCGGGUCUGGAUAUGGAGAGGAACGGAUGCAAUCAUAUUUAUUGUCCAUAUCCUCUCCAACCAAUUGCCUCAGCUGGUCAGCACUCUGAAAGCAGCGCUGCAUACUUUUCUUGGCCUACAUCUACUCUAAUGCACGGGUCAGCUGAAGGCCGUGCUAAUUACUUUGGGAACCUACAGAAGGGUGUACUACCAGGACAUCUUGGUCGCUUGCCAAAGGGCCAACAAGCUACCACCUUACUUGAUUUAAUGAUUAUAAAUAUAUUGCUGACAAAAGAGUAUUUCCAUCACUUGCCAUUCCUCAAAUAUAAAUAUAUUGCAUCUAUUAUAUGGCUCUUCUGACAAAAGAAGUUUGAAAACAGAGAGGAAGGAUAAGGACGCAAAGAAAAGAAGUAAAAAGAGAAGGCACAAAAGUUCAUCAGAGUCAAGUUCCAGCUCAUCUUCAGAAUCUUCAAGCAGCGACGAUGAGAGUUCAAGGAAGUCCAGAUCACGGUCGAGAUCAAAGAGAACAAGGAAAAGAAGAGCCGGUCAAAGUCCAAGCGCAGAGGCAGUGAAAGCGAGGAGGAAGGCCCGGUACGCCUCUCUAAAUUCUUCGGGAUGUAAGGAGUAGACGCUACUGUAGUUGGAAAUCGCUUGAUUAGCAGCCUCGUUACCGCAUAGAGCACCCAUUGAUCUCUUUGGUCUUGUUAAAGUUAAGUGAUAGUUUGUUUUUUAUUACUCUUGGUGAUCGACAUCAUCUAGAUGGAUCGAUUGUGAUCAAAAGUGCAGUAAUCACCAAGAGAGCUUGUGAGUGAUCUAACUCAGAAUUGUACACGGUUGUGAAUGAUUCACCAUACCGGAGUGGUAAAGAACCAACUUAUAGAGUGCACUUGGCCCUUGCGUGAACCAAGCUUAUGUAUUUGGACUUAUGUGAA